UUCUAUUCCUAUGUUCUAUAGUGUCUGUUUAAUUCUAUUGUUAUUUUCUAUUAUGUUAUAUUCUCAGCUCACCUGUCCUUUACACCUGUCCUUUACACCUGUCCUUUCUACCCUCCUACUUUCCUUGAAGCAAUAAAGUUCCCUAAAGUAAUGUCGGGAGGAAGAAUGAUGUGUGAUUGAUGAAAGACCGGGUCCAAACUACAAAGGUUGUCCCGCGCGACACCUCCUGGUCGGCGACUGACAAUCACGGGACUGUCAGUCUGUCCCGCGGAGCUUCAACUUUCCGUUCAAACAGAAAGUCGGGAAUGUUGCAUUUUUUUCUCCAGGAUUUCGUUGGGUAAAAACCAGGUGUGAAUAGCUCUGUAAUGUGAUGAAGCAGAGAGGAAGAGGAGGAGAAGAAGGAUGAAGGUGAAUUCUCACCACCUAACCUCCCUGUCUAAGGGCCCUGCUAGCAGCUUCGACGGAGAGGGGAGACUGAGGGUGGGGCGGGAGACACAGGAGGGACAGGGGAGACCACAGGGCAUGUGUGAGAGAUGGUGUCGUUUGAGAGGAAACCUCCUCUUCAUCAUGAAGAAACCUCAACAGGUGAGAGAGAGACAUACCCUGUAUAUCCAAGGUCUGAGGUCAUCUGCCUUUGGCCUAAAGUGCAGAAACCCAGACUUCGUCAAAGAACAUUUGAAAUACAGACAUUGUCAUCCUACAUGG